rnacentral:rRNA from 1 species
GUAGAGAUACUCUUUCCCUUCGGGGCUGCGUGAAGGUGCUGCAUGGUUGUCGUCAGCUCGUGCCGUGAGGUGUCGGCUUAAGUGCCAUACGAGCGCAACCCUUGCUGUUAGUUGCUAUCAGGUAAUGCUGAGCACUCUAGCGGGACUGCAUCGCAAGAUGUGAGGAAGGUGGGGAUGACGUCAAAUCAGCACGGCCCUUACGUCCGGGGUACACACGUGUUACAAUGGGGGGUACAGAACGUUGGUCAGUGGCGACACUGGUCUAAUCCCAAAACCCCUCUCAGUUCGGACUGGAGUCUGCAACCCGACUCCACGAAGCUGGAUUCGCUGUAAUCGCGCAUCAGCCAUGGCGCGGUGAAUACGUUCCCGGGCCUUGUACACACCGCCCG